rnacentral:sRNA from 1 species
UUAUAGAUGUCUGUUACUUUAAGGCCCUUCAAGGUGACAGCUUUAAUUUUAAAACACUCUAUCUUACUUAUCUGGCUUGUUUUUACCAGCAUUAUGAGUAAGAAUGAGAGCACACCUCCCCUAGACCCUCUUGAGAUGUUCCCCAGAGCCAGCACGUGAACUGUUGUUCGCAGCCUCCUUCCUCCCUUUAGGAAGCCUCUGCUCUGAUGACAUGGGCGACUGGCUUCCUCUGUGUGGCAGCAGAGCUCUUUUGUUAGGCAAAACCGAGAGGUCCCCCAGCCCUGUUCCUGUCCCUGAGUUAGCUUGCUAUUUUUGGAAAUGGGGAAUCAGGUGGGGCUUCUGCCUUCUCUCCUCUUUUCCCCCCACGGGUUAUGUCACACUGAACAACUGCACGUCCUGUGUGUUAUGCCCAGUGUCACCUCCAUGUGUUAUAACGCCAUAGGUCAGUGGGGUGUCAUAAAGAAACACAGCAGACUUGCGGAAGCCCAGCCUUGAGUCUGCUUCUGUCAUUUACUGACCAUGUCCCUUGGACAAGUUAUUUAGUCUCCCGGAGUCUGUUUGCUCAUCUCUAAAGAGAGGGUGAUGACAGUACCUUUUUCCCAGGGUUACAGAGGGAUUGAAUGAGAUGAUGGAUGGCCCAGUGCCUGGAGGACAGUAGCACUUUGUCCUUAAUAGGGAUUUUAGCAAUAAAGCCAGCAUGAAAUUUAUUUUUCAUGCCCUUAGAUUUGAAAAUUUAUGACUUAGAAUGUGUGUACUUCUUAGGUUAACCUGCCCUUCGUCACCUCAUGAAAAGUAAGACAGACUUAGGUGGCUGACUUUGGAGGGUUUUUUUUGUUAUAUUUGCUUUCAUUAUAGAUCAGCAACCGUUGGAAGCUGGCCCAGGUACAAGUACAAAAAGACUCUAAAGAAGCUGUCAAGAAGAAGGCAGCUGAGCAAACAGGUAACACUCACUUCCUUGCAACUCAGUCGGCUGUUAAAGGAUGGCUGUUGCACACCCGCUGUUUCAGCCAAGUGCCAGAUACGGCGAUGAAUGAAGCCCCUGUGGGGCUUCCCUUCUGCUGAGGGAUGGUGGGCAAUCAGUAUCUAUCCUGGCAGAUGGCAGCAGGUGCUGUGCAGAGAGAUUGGUGGGGAGUGCUGGAGGUGCUGUAGCUGUCUCGUUGGUGGUUGGAGAAGGCAGUCUAAUGAAUGCGACAUUGACGAGACCUGCAGUGACCUAGAGAAGAGUUCUGGAGCCACAGCACAGCGAGCCCAGAGGCCCUGGGGCUAGUUCACUGGGCAUGCUGAGCAGCAGCAAGUGGGCCUGCAUGAGCAGAGCGGGUAGAGAAGAGCAGGAGAUGGGGAAGGAGCCAGCAGAGGCCCACGGGAUGACGCUGCCUUUUACUCUGAGUUCAGAAGCCAGGAGGGUGCUGAGCAGACACGGGGGGGGGAAGUGACUGACAUGUGGCACUCUGGCUGCUGUGUCAACAGUAGACUAUAGAGGACAGGAUGGGAGUCCAGGAAGGGAUAGGAGACAUGGCAGUGGCUCAGGCGAGAGGGGAUGGUGGCUUUGAGACCAGCGUGGGAGCAGAGGAGGUGGUGAGCUGUCAGAGCCUUGAUCUGUCCCAUAGCAAAGCUGACAGCAUUUGAUGAUGAGGUGGAUGUGGCAUGUGAGAGAAGGGAAGGGAACCUUGGAUGAAGGUUUUGUCCUGAGCAGCUGGAAAGCUGGAGUUGCUGGCAGCCAAAGUAGCUGGUUUGAGCAGGUUUGUCCACGAUGGUGAUGGUGACGAUCCUGUUAAACGCCCUCAGGUCCACAGGCCACUGAGCAUUUAGGUUCACAGAAGAGGAGCAGGCAGGGCUGGGGAGGAUCAGCUCACGUGUAGGUGAAGGUGGGCAGAGCACCUGAGCCUGAGCUCUGAGGCAGCCUGUCCUGCAGAGAUGGGGGACCGGGGACCUGAGAGGGAGGAGGAAUCAGCCGUGACAACCCCUGUGGCUAGGCCAAGUCGGAGGGGGAUGGAGAUGGAGGGGAGGGUGGUUGCUGGAUUCACCAACUCCAGAGACAAGUUCUCUCCCUUGCAGCUGCCCGGGAACAGGCAAAGGAGGCGUGCAAAGCUGCAGCAGAACAGGCCGUCUCCGUCCGACAGCAGGUCGUGCUAGAAAAUGCUGCAAAGAAGAGAGAGCGAGCAACAAGCGACCCAAGGACCACAGAACAGAAACAAGAGAAGAAACGACUCAAAAUUUCCAAGAAGCCAAAGGACCCAGAGCCACCAGAAAAAGAGUUUACGCCUUACGACUACAGCCAGUCAGACUUCAAGGCUUUUGCUGGAAACAGCAAAUCCAAAGUUUCUUCUCAGUUUGAUCCAAAUAAACAGACCCCGUCUGGCAAG